rnacentral:rRNA from 1 species
UACGAAGGGGGCUAGCGUUGCUCGGAAUCACUGGGCGUAAAGCGCACGUAGGCGGAUCGUUAAGUCGGGGGUGAAAUCCUGGAGCUCAACUCCAGAACUGCCUCCGAUACUGGCGAUCUUGGAGUCCGGGAGAGGUGAGUGGAACUCCGAGUGUAGAGGUGAAAUUCGUAGAUAUUCGGAAGAACACCAGUGGCGAAGGCGGCUCACUGGCCCGGUACUGACGCUGAGGUGCGAAAGCGUGGGGAGCGAACAGG